rnacentral:rRNA from 1 species
UACGUAGGGUGCGAGCGUUAAUCGGAAUUACUGGGCGUAAAGCGUGCGCAGGCGGUUUGGUAAGACAGAUGUGAAAUCCCCGGGCUUAACCUGGGAAUUGCAUUUGUGACUGCCCGGCUAGAGUGUGUCAGAGGGGGGUAGAAUUCCACGUGUAGCAGUGAAAUGCGUAGAUAUGUGGAGGAAUACCGAUGGCGAAGGCAGCCCCCUGGGAUAACACUGACGCUCAUGCACGAAAGCGUGGAGAGCAAACAGG